GAAGGAUGAUCUCAGGAAAGAGUGGAUUGACUUCCCAAGGACUCACUCUGUCUCCAGAAAUUUUAGAUGAAGAUUUCAAAGGAGAAAUUAAAAUUAUGUCCUGCAUAAAAAGAGAGAUGCAAUUUAACACAGAUGACAGGCUUGCUCAGCUGCUCCUGUUUCACUACAUCAAGGCAAAGCUGCUCCACCAGAAAGAACAGCGUGUUUGGAAGUACUGGAAAACGUGUGUUCUGGCAAACAGUCGUUAAUGAUCAGAGCCAAAAUUAAAAUUGUACUGUUCAACUUUGCCAGAGUGUUCCAGCAACGAGGCACUGGUCAUAUCAAUAAAAAGGCCUUCGCUAAUGCAGAGAAGAAGGAUGGACCAGCAUGUGUGAGGCUCUUGGCCUAACACCCAGCACUGUAAAAUAUGUACAUAUUA